AACGUAGGGGGCAAGCGUUGUCCGGAAUUACUGGGCGUAAAGAGCUCGUAGGCGGUCUGGUAAGUCAGGUGUAAAAGGCAACGGCUCAACCGUUGUUAGGCACCUGAUACUGCUGGACUUGAGGGCAGGAGAGGAGAGUGGAAGUCCCGGUGUAGCGGUGAAAUGCGUAGAUAUCGGGAGGAACACCAGUGGCGAAGGCGGCUCUCUGGCCUGAACCUGACGCUGAGGAGCGAAAGCCAGGGGAGCAAACCGG
rnacentral:rRNA from 1 species